rnacentral:rRNA from 1 species
UAGAGAUGGAGUGACACAGUAGGAUAAGCUAACCGUACUGUUGGUUAUGUACGGCUAAGCAUUGAGGCAGUCUAAAUAGGCAAAUCCGUUUGGACAAUGCUAGGAUGUGAUGGGGAAGCCCUCCUGGGCGAAGUAGCUGAUUUCACACUGUCAAGAAAAGCUUCUAUCGAGUUUAAAGGCGCCCGUACCGUAACCGACACAGGUGGGUGAGGAGAGUAUCCUAAGGCCAGCGAGAGAACUAUUGUUAAGGAACUCGGCAAAAUGACCCCGUAACUUAGGGAGAAGGGGUUCCUGUCUAUGACAGGCCGCAGAGAAUAGGCCCAAGCGACUGUUUACCAAAAACACAGGUUUCUGCUAAGUCGCAAGACGAUGUAUAGGAGCUGACGCCUGCCCGGUGCUGGAAGGUUAAGGGGAUCUGUUAGAGCAAUCGAAGCAGUGAACUUAAGCCCCAGUAAACGGCGGCCGUAACUAUAACGGUCCUAAGGUAGCGAAAUUCCUUGUCGGGUAAGUUCCGACCCGCACGAAAGGCGUAACGAUUUGGGCACUGUCUCAACAAUAGACUCGGUGAAAUUGUAAUCCCGGUGAAGAUGCCGGGUACCUGCGACAGGACGGAAAGACCCCAUGGAGCUUUACUGUAGCUUGACGUUGGGUCUUGGUACUACAUGUACAGGAUAGGUGGGAGACUAUGAAGCAUGGACGCCAGUCUGUGUGGAGUCAUCCUUGGGAUACCACCCUUGUAGUACUGGGAUCCUAACCAUAGGCCUUGAAUCAGGUCUUGGAACACCGUCAGGUGGGCAGUUUGACUGGGGCGGUCGCCUCCUAAAAAGUAACGGAGGCGCUCAAAGGUUUCCUCAGCACGGUCGGAAAUCGUGCGAAGAGUGUAAAGGCAAAAGGAAGCUUGAUUGCAAGACAUACAGGUCGAGCAAGGACGAAAGUCGGACUUAGUGAUCCGGUGGUACCGCAUGGAAGGGCAUCGCUCAACGGAUAAAAGCUACCCUGGGGAUAACAGGCUUAUCUCCCCCAAGAGUCCACAUCGACGGGGAGGUUUGGCACCUCGAUGUCGGCUCAUCGCAUCCUGGGGCUGUAGUAGGUCCCAAGGGUUGGGCUGUUCGCCCAUUAAAGUGGUACGCGAGCUGGGUUCAGAACGUCGUGAGACAGUUCGGUCCCUAUCCGUCGCAGGCGUAGGAAAUUUGAGAGGACCUGUCCUUAGUACGAGAGGACCGGGAUGGACGUACCUCUGGUGUACCAGUUGUUCUGCCAAGGGCAUGGCUGGGUAGCUAUGUACGGAAUGGAUAAGCACUGAAAGCAUCUAAGCGCGAAGCCAACUUCAAGAUAAGAUUUCCCACCGUAAGGGUAAGACCCCAGGAAGACUACCUGGUUGAUAGGUCGAAGGUGUAAGUGCAGUAAUGUAUUUAGCUUAUCGAUACUAAUAGGUCGAGGACUUGACCU